AUUGAACGCUGGCGGCAGGCCUAACACAUGCAAGUCGAACGGUAACAGGAAGCAGCUUGCUGCUUCGCUGACGAGUGGCGGACGGGUGAGUAAUGUCUGGGAAACUGCCUGAUGGAGGGGGAUAACUACUGGAAACGGUAGCUAAUACCGCAUAAUGUCGCAAGACCAAAGAGGGGGACCUUCGGGCCUCUUGCCAUCGGAUGUGCCCAGAUGGGGUUAGCUAGUAGGUGGGGUAACGGCUCACCUAGGCGACGAUCCCUAGCUGGUCUGAGAGGAUGACCAGCCACACUGGAACUGAGACACGGUCCAGACUCCUACGGGAGGCAGCAGUGGGGAAUAUUGCACAAUGGGCGCAAGCCUGAUGCAGCCAUGCCGCGUGUAUGAAGAAGGCCUUCGGGUUGUAAAGUACUUUCAGCGGGGAGGAAGGCGAUAAGGUUAAUAACCUUGUCGAUUGACGUUAUCCGCAGAAGAAGCACCGGCUAACUCCGUGCCAGCAGCCGCGGUAA
rnacentral:rRNA from 1 species